ACGGCCUGGAUGUUAGGAAGGACGCCGCCCUGAGCAAUUGUCACCCGGCCUAGCAGCUUGUUGAGCUCCUCAUCGUUACGGAUGGCCAGCUGCAAGUGGCGCGGGAUGAUGCGGGUCUUCUUGUUGUCGCGAGCCGCGUUG
rnacentral:miRNA from 1 species